rnacentral:rRNA from 1 species
AUUGAACGCUGGCGGCAGGCCUAACACAUGCAAGUCGAGCGGAUGACGGGAGCUUGCUCCUUGAUUCAGCGGCGGACGGGUGAGUAAUGCCUAGGAAUCUGCCUGGUAGUGGGGGACAACGUUUCGAAAGGAACGCUAAUACCGCAUACGUCCUACGGGAGAAAGCAGGGGACCUUCGGGCCUUGCGCUAUCAGAUGAGCCUAGGUCGGAUUAGCUAGUUGGUGGGGUAAUGGCUCACCAAGGCGACGAUCCGUAACUGGUCUGAGAGGAUGAUCAGUCACACUGGAACUGAGACACGGUCCAGACUCCUACGGGAGGCAGCAGUGGGGAAUAUUGGACAAUGGGCGAAAGCCUGAUCCAGCCAUGCCGCGUGUGUGAAGAAGGUCUUAGGAUUGUAAAGCACUUUAAGUUGGGAGGAAGGGCAGUAAGCUAAUACCUUGCUGUUUUAACGUUACCGACAGAAUAAGCACCGGCUAACUCUGUGCCAGCCGCCGCUGUAAUAC